rnacentral:rRNA from 1 species
CCACGGAAUAUCGGCAGGCCUACACAUGCAAGUCGAGCGGAUGACGGGAGCUUGCUCCUUGAUUCAGCGGCGGACGGGUGAGUAAUGCCUAGGAAUCUGCCUGGUAGUGGGGGACAACGUUUCGAAAGGAACGCUAAUACCGCAUACGUCCUACGGGAGAAAGCAGGGGACCUUCGGGCCUUGCGCUAUCAGAUGAGCCUAGGUCGGAUUAGCUAGUUGGUGGGGUAAUGGCUCACCAAGGCGACGAUCCGUAACUGGUCUGAGAGGAUGAUCAGUCACACUGGAACUGAGACACGGUCCAGACUCCUACGGGAGGCAGCAGUGGGGAAUAUUGGACAAUGGGCGAAAGCCUGAUCCAGCCAUGCCGCGUGUGUGAAGAAGGUCUUCGGAUUGUAAAGCACUUUAAGUUGGGAGGAAGGGCAGUAAGCUAAUACCUUGCUGUUUUGACGUUACCGACAGAAUAAGCACCGGCUAACUCUGUGCCAGCAGCCGCGGUAAUACAGAGGGUGCAAGCGUUAAUCGGAAUUACUGGGCGUAAAGCGCGCGUAGGUGGUUUGUUAAGUUGGAUGUGAAAGCCCCGGGCUCAACCUGGGAACUGCAUCCAAAACUGGCAAGCUAGAGUACGGUAGAGGGUGGUGGAAUUUCCUGUGUAGCGGUGAAAUGCGUAGAUAUAGGAAGGAACACCAGUGGCGAAGGCGACCACCUGGACUGAUACUGACACUGAGGUGCGAAAGCGUGGGGAGCAAACAGGAUUAGAUACCCUGGUAGUCCACGCCGUAAACGAUGUCAACUAGCCGUUGGAAUCCUUGAGAUUUUAGUGGCGCAGCUAACGCAUUAAGUUGACCGCCUGGGGAGUACGGGCCGCAAGGUUAAAACUCAAAUGAAUUGACGGGGGCCCGCACAAGCGGUGGGAGCAUGUUGGUUUAAUUCGAAGCAAC